UACGAAGGGGGCUAGCGUUGCUCGGAAUCACUGGGCGUAAAGCGCACGUAGGCGGAUUGUUAAGUCAGGGGUGAAAUCCUGGAGCUCAACUCCAGAACUGCCUUUGAUACUGGCGAUCUCGAGUCCGGGAGAGGGUCGUGGAAUUCCCGGUGUAGCGGUGAAAUGCGCAGAUAUCAGGAGGAACACCAAUGGCGAAGGCAGCUCGCUGGGACGUGACUGACGCUGAGACGCGAAAGCGUGGGGAGCAAACAGG
rnacentral:rRNA from 1 species